AUGCUGAGUUGCUGUUAUCUUGUUGCAAUAUCAUUUCUUAUUGUUGCACAUCCGCUAGAACUUUUUGUAGUUGCCAGGGGAAGGAUCCGUGUCGAUGCUGACAGUGUUCAAAGGGUAUUUGAUCUCCCAAACAGGGGUCAAAAAGUCAGUUAUAAAGUUGACAAGGAUACAACUAGGAGAUUUAGAGAGACCUUCAACAUAAUUGGAACUUCUCAUCCCCAGAUCAGUACAUGGACCAAGAUGAUUGAGGAUAUGGCUGGAAGAACGGAUGACACAUUCUUUAUGGCCUGGCUUGCGGUUGCCUUUAGCACUUUCCUAGCACCAACCACAGCCUUGAAGCUCAGCCCAAAGUGUUACGGACUUGUGCUAGAUCAUGAAAUGAUCAAGAACACAAACAUCUGCCUCUUUGUAGCAGAACACAUUAACGAAGCUUUCCGGAACAUGGACCAGGAGAAGCAAACUGUCUGCUGCUGCUUGUAUCACUUGAUGAUACUAUACCUUGAUGCGCUUGUCCAUGACAUCCCAGUAAGCAACUGCGCGGUACGAUCGAAUGCAUGGGAUAGUGCUCUAAUUGUUAAGGUGAUCAAGAAGGAUACCAUCUCUCCUGGUGUGUUCGGCAAAUUACAACUUAAAGAGGAGUAUAGAGGCACGGAGCAGACGCCACUAUUUGGUGGAAUUUUGCAAGCUGAAGCAUUCAUGGCAUCCAAGUUACCAAUAACCUACAAUCCACAGAAAAAGGCAAAGAUUGCGAAAGUGGUCAAUGACCUGUGCAAGGCUGUAACUGAACAUGUUGGCACCUUUAUUGAAGCAGUUGCCAAGAUCGAUGACGAGGAACCGGAUAUUGAUCCGUACAGCAGCCAUCAAUGCAAACCGGGGCGUCACGCCGUGCUCCAAAAAGAAAGAGACGGGGAGGAUGAGGAGGACAAACAAGAAGAGGACAAAGGAGAGGAGGAGGAGGAGGAGAAAGAAGAUAGUGAGGCAGAGGAGGAGGAAGAAGAAGGUGAGGCCGAAGAGGAGGACGGGACAAAGGCGCAGCAGUUGAUGGCAGUGAGAGGGAAGAAGACGAUGAUAAAGAAGACGAGGACGGUUAUGGUGAUGAUGUUGGGGGAUCCAAUGGAGGUAGCGACAUCAGCGAUGAUGACGAUGAUGAAAACGCCCCUAGUUCUGGUGGAUUUGCCAAAGUCAAAGAAAAAUGACGAAGCAGAGUCUCAGGGCAGCAUUGAUACGUUCAAACUCUGCAACUUGAAGCUAGCUUUGGCAACCACCUUUCUUGUUCCAGAUUUUAGCGACCAAGAUAUGUGUGAGAAGAUCAACUUUGCCAUUGACAAGAGCCUGUUCUUAUCAAGUGUUGCUGAAAAGAAUCAAGUUGACAUGGAGGAAGCAGGAAAAGACCUAAGCUCCGGCAGGAGCAAGGCAGAAUCCAUGGCAAACCCUCACGUGGUCCAAAAGCGCAAAGCAGUUUCACUGAAGAAGAAUCUGCAGUUGCCUCAAACCAAGGAGAAGAUGGUGAGUGCAGAUGCUGAAGUAAAUAUGGUCAAGGAAGCUGUGCUUCAAACUGAUACGUCAACUAUAGUGAGCAGAGAGCCAACCACCAUCACAGGAGUUCAACAGAUCAAGGGGAAGACUCCCCUUUCAAUAGUCCCACCAAAACCACCUAAGCAGCAAAAGAUUGUCAAGUUUGCCAGGGGCACAAAGGGGGAACAUGCCACAAAAGGUUUGGGGUUCAGAGACGAGAGAGAACCGCGAGCCAAAGCCAUUGAUGCAGGGGUGCCAAGUUCUGCUAGGUUGCUGCCAACUCAGACUGGGAAGAUGCCAACUAGAGAUACCAAUGUGCCAACUGAUGUGUCAGCUAGCAGUGUGAUCACAGUCAAAACCACCACAGCUGCUCAGGAAGGCACCACUGCAACUGCAAGCCCCAAGGUGCCUACUCAUAGAGAUGCUUCAAUGCCAAACACAAAAGGAGGUGAUCCUACUACCAAAUUGCCGUCCCCAAGAGCCAGCACACAGCAGCCAAGCAAGCCUGCAUCACCAAGAUCUGACUUUCAGCAACCACUAACACAAGCGGAGGUGUUCAACAAUAUAAGUAGGUGCAAGCCUCCAAGGCCGCCAACUACAACACUACUGCGAACCAAGUUAGUGAAUGAUGCACAUGUGUUUGUGCCGCAAGGAGAUGCCCUGGUCCUUGAACCCAUACAAAGAUCAAAGUCCUAUCAUGGUGACGGGGUCUGCGAUGCACCAUCUUUUGAUCUCGGCAUAGAUGGUCAUGCUCCAGCACCUGGUCCAGCAGCAGAAACAGCGGAAGCCGGUGUGAUUCGUAUUGAUGAGUUUGAGUUGGACCCAGCAGCUAUGAAUGAAGGAUGCGCUGCUACUGAUGCUGGCACGGCAAUAGCUCAAGAGCUAGAUGUUGGAUCACCAGAGAAUUGCCACACCCCGAUAUGCGCAGAACCAGAAGCUGGCACGAGCAGUUCUUUAGGACCACCUAUUGCACGAAGACAGAGGAGGGUAAUAAGGCCCGCAGCAUCUCAAAGGUCUCCAUUCAUUGACUACAACAAGAAGAAGACUUUCAGCUCCAAUGAGGCAGUGAACAAGCUUUACACUGCCCUCUUGUAUUGGGUCAGGCAUCAUGAAGGAGAAAAUGAUGAAGCUACCAGCCCUGAGAUAAUCAGGUAUGGUGCUUUCUACAUUUCUUUAAAGGAGUUAGUUGAUUCGAUGAAGCUAGUUCAAUGGUUGUCAAAAAUUGUUAUUGAGACUGGAAUCUUACACAUCAUGGAUAACUUACCAGAAGGGUCAAAGAAGGUUGUUAUGCCACUGAGGUUUUCGAUGAAUUUACAGCAAGGGAUCCACAACGUGAAGGAGAUAAACAAGAAGUUUGAUUACAAGAACCGUCUCAACAAGAAGGACUUGGUCAUGCUGCCAGUGCUCGAGUGCACUGAUGUAACCGAUAAGGAGGGAGGGAGGCAUUAUUGGGUCUUCAAUGUCAAUUUGAGGGACGGACGCUUCGAAGUUCUUGAUUCAAGCAGGACGCUGGAUGACAUUGAGCUGAUGACCACCGCCUCUACCAUCGUGGGGGCAGUACGCCAGCUAUGGAGGAAGCAUUACCCAAAGUUCAGCAUCGAGCACUUCCAGAUUAUUGACAUUGCCGUACCGAAGCAGCUCGGCAAUAAUGAGUGUGGGCUGUUCGCACUGCUUAACGCCACCGAGUGGAACGGUAGCCAACUGCCCAACUACGAUCCCAAGGAAGUACUAAACAUCAGGAAGAAGCUGGCAUAUGAUUGGGUCACCAGCACGCACAACACCGCCCCAUGGAGGAAGUUGCUGAGAUAUGAGAAGGACUAG
rnacentral:rRNA from 1 species